rnacentral:rRNA from 1 species
GAUGAACGCUGGCGGCGUGCCUAAUACAUGCAAGUCGAGCGAACGGACGAGAAGCUUGCUUCUCUGAUGUUAGCGGCGGACGGGUGAGUAACACGUGGAUAACCUACCUAUAAGACUGGGAUAACUUCGGGAAACCGGAGCUAAUACCGGAUGAUAUUUUGAACCGCAUGGUUCAAAAGUGAAAGACGGUCUUGCUGUCACUUAUAGAUGGAUCCGCGCUGCAUUAGCUAGUUGGUAAGGUAACGGCUUACCAAGGCAACGAUGCAUAGCCGACCUGAGAGGGUGAUCGGCCACACUGGAACUGAGACACGGUCCAGACUCCUACGGGAGGCAGCAGUAGGGAAUCUUCGGCAAUGGGCGAAAGCCUGACGGAGCAACGCCGCGUGUGUGAUGAAGGUCUUCGGAUCGUAAAACUCUGUUAUUAGGGAAGAACAGAUGUGUAAGUAACUGUGCACAUCUUGACGGUACCUAAUCAGAAAGCCACGGCUAACUACGUG